GCUGAUCCCGAUAUGCACAUCGAGCAGCAGUCAGCCGGCGACGCGAGCGACAUCGCGGUUACCCUCGCGCCGGGGACAGGCGAGGAUGCUUUGAGCCUAGAGGGCUCUGGAGCGAUUGCACGCCUCGAAUUGAAGGUGGAAGCGCAGGAUCUCGACCGUGCGCUGCGCCAGACCGUGCUGCACAUCUACUUCGAUGAGUCACCGUGGGGUCAGGUGCAGGCUCCGCUCGGUGAUUUCUACGGAGCAGCUCCAGGUGUGAACCCCUAUCAGUCGCUUCCAUUCACCGUUUUGCCGGAUGGGACUAUGAUCUCCCGGUCU
rnacentral:rRNA from 1 species